AACUUUGAGUUUCUCUGAAUGCUUCAACUGAAAUAAGUUAAAACUUUCAACAACGGAUCUCUUGGUUCUGGCAUCGAUGAAGAACGCAGCGAAAUGCGAUAAGUAAUGUGAAUUGCAGAAUUCAGUGAACCAUCGAAUCUUUGAACGCACAUUGCGCCCAUUAGUAUUCUAGUGGGCAUGCCUAUUCGAGCGUCAUUUCAACCCUUAAGCCCUUGCUGCUUAGCGUUGGGGGCCUACGGCUUCGGCCUGUAGCCCCUUAAAGUCAGUGGCGGAGUCAGGUCGUACCCUAAGCGUAGUAAUCAUUCUUCUCGCUUCUGCGGUACCCCUGGCUGCCUGCCGUAAAGCCGUUUCUUUCUAGUGGUGAC
rnacentral:rRNA from 1 species